ACUUAUUCACUGUUUAUAAUUAUAAUGGAUUUCAUAUGAGAAGAGAGUUACAUUAUGGGUGAUGGAAUCUAUAUAUUGCAGUAGUACGUCAUAGUAUGUUACUAUUGUUGUUUAUGUAGGAGUAUAAGCAUAUAAAGUGAAUUUGCUUCUAUGUUUUGAAGGCUUCAUUGCAUUUCUAAAUAUUCGGCGAUGUUUACCUGGGGUUUUGUACGUUAGAUAUAUUAUAUCUCUCUAUGUAAUAUCCCCAAUCUAAAGGGUUUUCUGCAUAUUGUCACCUGUAUACGUGUAUAUAUAUAUUGUCCUAGGGCCUCCAGAGAAUACAAGUUGCUAUUCCUAACAUGGUAUUAGAGCUAGGUUUUCCCUAGAGGCGUAGCAACUUGUCCCAAUAUAGAUUUACUGCUCACCUGUUACAGUAAUUCACCUUCCGCCCAGUGCUGCUCUGACUUUGCCCGGCGCGCUCCGCCAGUCCGCCGUGCUUUGUCGCCCAAUCUUGUCGUCUCGAUCUAGCUGGCCCUGCCGCCCUAACCGCACUGUCGGGUCCCCGACCCAGCUCGCUGGCGUCUUCGCCUUCGUCGCUGGCUAUAUGUCGGCACCUCCGCCUACCUCACUGGCUGCCCGAACUGCUAACUGCCCGCUCGCUGGUUGGUUCCCUCCGCCUGCUACAUAUAGGCGAGUCUGCGGGUGCUCUGUUCUUCACAGAACAGUCUCGUAGAUAGUAGAUACAAAGAAAGCAAAAAAGAAAAAAAAAUUGCAGCACCUCACCGCUUUCUUUGUGCUCUCGUCAUUGCUUACCGUUUUUCUUUGCGCUCUCGCCGUCAUUCGUUGCUACUUGUUGUUGCUCGUCGCUCUCUUUUGCGCUCUCGCCGUCGUUUGUCCUUCUUCAGGAUGUCAUCGAGCAUCGUUUUAGUUCCUCGGUGCUCGGUGAUCUUUGAUUGUGCCACCAAACGGGACUUAGCGCAACAUAUGUGUGUUCACAUGCGCGGCCUUUGUCUUUGGGGUGUUCUCUAUGGCAACGUUCUUUGCCCCUUUUCCCUGGAGCUUCUGAUGGAGCUCGUACAGUCGACUGUUGACAAAGGAGACAAAUCAACUAUUGAGAUCGUCACAACUAUUUAUGAGAAGGAUGACUCCGCCUAUCAGGAAGCUUUGGAGUUGUACCGUGAUUAGUUGUCUAACUGUGCUCAGUGGAUGGAUGAUGAUGCUCGUGUCGCGUCUAUUCUGAUUGCUAGUGUGAAGCAUAUGUUUUCUUCUAAGAUUGUUGAGUUCCCUUUCAGAUGUGGACUCAUUUUCAUGAAACCUAUGAGCCAUUUGGGGAUGUUCUCUAUCUGUCUGUUGUUCGCCAAGAGCAGUCUCUUUAGCAAGGUGAUGCCACAGUUGAUGCGUUCAAUGCUCAAAUGUUGGAUGUGUGACGUUAGUUGGACUCUCUUUCUGUUGUUGGUUGCCACUCUUGUCAGUGCUACUUGGAUUUGUGUGUUAAACGUGACUUUCGACGCCUCUACGAGUUCCUGACUUGCACGACGCUUUUGUCCGGAGUUUGAGCAGCGUCGGGCUCAGCUACUUGCACGACAUCCUCGUGUCACGUUUGUGGAGGCUCUUACAAGGUUGUGCUCAGAGGAGACUCGUCUGUGUGGUUCUGGACUACUGCCAUUUCCUUCGGUGUUGGCUGCUCGUUCACCUGCUGCGCCUACGUCUUCGACUACACCGUUGUCUGCUCCUUGUACGACUCCUUCGCCACAUGUGGCCUCUUCAGGUGGUGGUGGUCACUCUCACAGGAGGGCAAUGUUUGAGGCGAACUGCCGUCGGAAGAAAAAGCAUCUUUGAUGUUCCUCUGGUGCUUCUACCUCGACUACCUCUUUGACUGACACUUAGCAGGAGAUUGUGAUGCUGCUUCGUCACCUGGUUGUUACCUCUGGCUCUGCACCAAUAGGUUUUGCUACUCUCUCUUCUGUCAUAGAGAGACCACCUUCUACGCAGUCAGGAUCGUCGCACGGGUGCUCUAGUUGGUACUAGCCCUUGGCACUAUGAUUCUCAACGUCUAUGGGAGCUUGACUGGUUUCGUCUUCCUUUCACUGCUGCAGCCGGUCUCUCUGCUUCCUCGACUACUGGCUCUUUCUAGUAGUGGCAUCAUUGUUUAGGUCAUGCUUGUGGGUUGCGUCUGUCUUUAUUAGUUUGUCGUGAUCUUUUAGGGUCUGUCUUAGAAGAUUUGUCCUUAGAUUGUCAGCGUUGUAAGUUUGGUAAACAGUUUCAACUUUCUUAUUCUUAUUCUUAUAGUGGGUUAGUGUCUCAACGCCCUUUUGUUAUUGUUCACUUCGAUGUAUGUGGUUCAGCUCUCUUCGUUUCGAAAGGGGGUCAUAGCUACUAUAUUAUCUUUAUAUAUGAUUUCAUUCGUCACAUUUGGAUUUA